UUAUUCCCGUUCGUCCCGAUAUCGAUGCUGAAGCAGAGAUUGAUGCGAAUCGAAAACGCAUCGAAGAUGCCUUUCAACAUUACAUUCAUCGAGCAUCUGGGGAAAAGGCUUCUACUGCAAAUUCCAAGCAAGAAAAUCAACAAGAGGAGCGCCAUGAAUUUGAAAUUUUGGUUUGUCAUGGGAACAUAAUACGUUAUUUCUUUUGUCGGGCAUUGCAGAUUCCACCGGAAG
rnacentral:ribozyme from 1 species